rnacentral:rRNA from 1 species
GAUCAUGGCUCAGAUUGAACGCUGGCGGCAGGCCUAACACAUGCAAGUCGAGCGGUAGCACAAGAGAGCUUGCUCUCUGGGUGACGAGCGGCGGACGGGUGAGUAAUGUCUGGGAAACUGCCUGAUGGCGGGGGAUAACUAGUGGAAACGGUAGCUAAUACCGCAUAACGUCGCAAGACCAAAGUGGGGGACCUUCGGGCCUCACGCCAUCAGAUGUGCCCAGGUGGGAUUAGCUAGUAGGUGGGGUAACGGCUCACCUAGGCGACGAUCCCUAGCUGGUCUGAGAGGAUGACCAGCCACACUGGAACUGAGACACGGUCCAGACUCCUACGGGAGGCAGCAGUGGGGAAUAUUGCACAAUGGGCGCAAGCCUGAUGCAGCCAUGCCGCGUGUGUGAAGAAGGCCUUCGGGUUGUAAAGCACUUU